UGGCGUCCUCAUUGCGGUUGGUGGGGUUUUUCCCCUCCAUGGAACCCCUCCCCCCUCCACGUGAGGAUUGGAAGCCACUUGUGCACAAAAUGGUCAACUAUCCUCAUACCCUGUUCACAAUUGUGUGAGGAACGAUGGCGGUGAGAUUUGCACGCAACUAUUUACCAUAUUUAGUAAAGUUGUAAGUCUACUUAGCUAGAUGAGAUUCUCAAAUCGUUUAGAGUUACCGUAUAUCUUAACGUCACUAGUGCCAGCCUCAUUCGAUG
rnacentral:lncRNA from 1 species